UGGGGAAUAUUGCACAAUGGAGGGAACUCUGAUGCAGCGACGCCGCGUGAACGAAGAAGGCUUUCGAGUCGUAAAGUUCUUUUAUAUGGGAAGAUAAUGACGGUACCAUAAGAAAAAGCCCCGGCUAACUACGUGCCAGCAGCCGCGGUAAUACGUAGGGGGCUAGCGUUGUCCGGAAUCACUGGGCGUAAAGGGUUCGCAGGCGGAAAUGCAAGUCAGGUGUAAAAGGCAGUAGCUUAACUACUGUAAGCAUUUGAAACUGCAUAUCUUGAGAAGAGUAGAGGUAAGUGGAAUUUUUAGUGUAGCGGUGAAAUGCGUAGAUAUUAAAAAGAAUACCGGUGGCGAAGGCGACUUACUGGGCUCAUUCUGACGCUGAGGAACGAAAGCGUGGGAAGCAAACAGG
rnacentral:rRNA from 2 species